GAUCAUAAAAAAUUACUAAGAAUGGCAUCUUGAAAAUUUCCAUCAGCGUAUGUAUAGCUUGUAGCAUGUGGACUUAACCCAUCUCUACUGCCCUCUCGUUCAUUGUAGUGGUAGAAUGCAAGUGCUCUCAGAGAUCUUAACACAUGCCAACAAUCUCUUCAUCCUAUGCCAUGCCAACAAAUUACGUGGCUUGGAUUGCAAGGUGACAUGGGGCACACAUCAGUACCACAAAUAGAACCCCCACCGUCACAGAGUCCCCACCACCACGAGCAAAGCUUGUUAAUGACGUCUGACCGACGACCACCCUGGAACCCCCACCACCACUUGGUCUCCUAAACGCCGACGGCUUGUAAAGCCGAAUUUGUUAAAGAAACAGAAGGAGCCAGGUGUUGAUUUGAUAAACCCUAAAAAGGUGUGAGUUGUUGAUUCAGUAAAAUUGGAGGUUGAUUCGUCAAAUUUGAAGGUUGAUUUGGUGAAUUCUGUUGAGAAUUUGGGUGAUAAAGUUGAAGAAAUAUAGGAAUUGGUGAUGAAGAAGGUCCAGUUGGGAAAAUAUGGCAGAGAGACAGGGGAGAGAUUGAGAGAGUAU
rnacentral:lncRNA from 1 species